GAAAUCUGAACCUUUUGAUGUGCUGACUAAAAUGAAGUGAUCAUUCAUCAAUCAUCAUCAUACUUGAAGCUUACAGUAAUGUUAUUAAACAGCUAUAUUCGCACGAAUUGUCAAUUGUUAUUCGACUUAUUUGUACUUGUCAAAAGAUCCCUGUCUCGGCAUACUCAAGAUCUAGCUAUACAAAUUCACACUAGGAAGAAGUUCUUUGUUCUCUACUGUGUAUUGGAACCUGAAUGUGUUUCAGGCUUUUGUUGAUGCCUGAUUGUAAAUGUUUCAAGAUGAAAUCAAUCAACAACUAGUUACAUUUAAUGUUGGAGAAAUGUAACCGAGUUUACUUUGGAACAAUAAUAAACAAAUUUAAAAAGUUU